CUGGGAACAGGGAAGCCUUCCAUUUCUCCUUUGUUGUAAGUCUGAAGUGAUAGCUGCUGUCUACAACUGACAGGGUGACACAUCUCAGGUAUCCACAUAUUUCAGCAAAGAGUUUUGUGAGGAAGAUUGUAUAAGAAACAAAUUGCUUCAGGAUCCUGCUGCCCAAUUACUCAGAAAAAGAGAGGCAUCCCUUCAGAGUUGUCUCCUUGCUCAGCAUUCUCCAGUAUGGCUACAGAUUCUUCUCUCUAAACAAAUACUAACUAUACUGUUAUAAUUUAUUCUCAUUCAAGUGCAGAAAAAAACCCAAGCCCCUUGAUCAAGAAUGCCAAUCGUUCUGACAAGUUUUUACAAGAAAUCCAGCUCGUGGCACAAAACCUUCCCAGAGUCACGUACUGAUGCUCAGACAAAGGCAGCUGUAAUAUGUCCCCUUCCUAACAUGCUAUAUCAUGCUGUUAUCCCAGCUAUCAUUAAUCCAAUUCUCCAUUAUGUCCCAAAUCAGUAAGGAGACAACUUUCAGAUGGGGGUCUCUGGUGAAGUAGGACUAAGUAAUGCCACACAGAACCAGGCAGUUUUAAUUUUGGGACCUGUCAAGACCUAUUUUAUGUGCAAAGUAAUUUGCAUACCUGAUAACAGCUUAUCUGAGGUGACUGAUAUUUUUAACAUCUAGAUAGCAAUUCGAGCCGAUUAUGCUGGACAGCAUUAACAUAGUUACAGAGAACUUCAAUUUAGGAUCAUAGUUUUAUCACCUGAGAUUAAUUUCAAAAUACUUUGGUUUUCAUUAGCUCUAAAUACUUCUAAAAUGCACCUAACUUCUUCCUACUUGAAUAGAAUCUACAGCUGUUAGGAACCUGAGUCAUACCCCUUUUUCAGAACACUUCUCAAUGCUAAAAUAAGACCAAAGGACCUAGUAAAUGCUAGUUUUGUAAGAAACAACUGACCUGAUUAGGAGCAAUGAAUCACUGAGGCAAGUGUCCUGCCUCAGCCGGCACCUGAAGCUUCAAAGGAAUGCCCUGGCCCCACAAUAAAACCUAAACCAUAGGUUUUAUUUUUUGUGUUUCUUGACUGAGACAACAGUUCUUUUGCACAGCAGACAACUUAAAAACUGGUCUAUGCCACAUCUUUAACUUGUGCUUGCAGCAGUGGAUGAUAUUUAUACCCUUGUACCAACAGUCACAUGGAUUUGUUGGCCAGCUGCUGCACUGUCACCUCAUUUCUGAAUCCCACAAGGAAACCUCUUCCAUAUUCAUGAACGCUGCAUUAAUUUCUAAGAUCCUGGAAACCCUCACUGAAGCUAUGUGUUAUAAUCCAGUUGACUUUUUUUUUUUUUUUGCUUAGGAUCAACAAAGCCUUAAUUCACUGUAGAAACAGUGUCAAGUGAUAUUUCAUAUACACACAUGAUAUUAUCUCUUUGUUAUUACAUGUGGAUUUUAUUUCUAUUCAUUCAUUCUAAUUAUUUAAAAUAAGGGGAAGAUUAAACUGAUAGACAUGAAUGUACCAUUCUACAUUAGAUUUUAUGAGAUUGCAUUAUGAAGAGUAACUCUUGCAGGAGAAACAUAUUUCUAUUUUAUAAGAAAACCAAUGUUAAAUUGAAAUAGUAGCUAUCAGCCAAGGCUAGACCCUUUCAUGCUAAUAUGACCUUCAAUUAGUGGAGCACACAUCUUGAGACCCAGCCAUUUUAUCAGACACACAGGAUAGGAUAAGGAAAUGUUGGUAUCCUUGAAAAACUCUACUUUGAGGUGACCUUCUACUUAGCCAGGCUCAUUAUGCAAAACAAAAAUAAUUGUACAUCUUCUUCCUGAUCUCACUUUAGAAGAUUUUCAACAAACUUCGAAUUACAAAUAAUGAUUUAACUCAUGGAUUUAUGCUAAUACAUAGCAGCUCAGACAGUCAACACAUGCAUCCUGUACAAUUCCCCUGAGACACUGGUUUGCAGAGUUUUCUUUUACUCAGCAGCAACAGCUAUUAGCUUUUACUUAAAAACCACUACACAUCCACUUGGGUCCAGACUUUUUAAAUAGUAGAUACCAUUGUGACACCCUGAAAUAGCAAAGAGCUCAAUGGUCCCCCACAGUAGUUUUCUCACUGACGUGUCCAAAUAGCAACAAAGUUCUGCUGAAAAUGUGGCUAACUUCAAUGCUGAAGUAGCUGAAUCAUGAGAUUUCUUCUAUGUCAUCCAGAAAUAAAUCACCUUCGACAUGACAAAAAAGUGGAUAUAUGUUAUACUCCAUUUGUAAGCUAUAAUAUGUUCAAGAAGUUUGUUGUGCUAAACAAAUGUUUUUCCUAGCCAGAAGGAAAAUCAAUGAGAUCAUCAUGUGGAAUUUUCUCUAAUUUUUUCAUUAGCCCUUUCAGCAAUGUGCUGUAGGCAACAAUAGAUUUCCAUACAAGCCUUAUUUAUAAACAGCUGUAUUUCUUUCAAGUUUUGUUUUAGAAUACAGAGAAUUAAAUUAGAGAGAUGCUUAAGUACCUAAGUAGAAACAACAAAUACAGGUAAGAGAUCUUAAGGUAACUGGAAGGUUGACUAUUAGAAAGCAACUACAAGGACUAAGAGCAGUACAAAGUUUAUGAGACUGGAAAGGAUUGUAAAUCGUCAUAAGUCUCAGAAUUGAAAGACAGAACAAUUGGUGAAAAAAGUAGAUCUUCCUGAAAAGAUUAGAGAAUUGGCAGGAGCGUAGGGGGAUGCACAGGGAGAGACAGCUGGUUUAUGUUGCCAGUGCUGACUGAAGUCAGGUGAGAUAUAACAACUUACAUAAAAGGAUUUGGCUGUGCAAAACAAUAGAUGGGAUGAGAUAAUAGGUACAAUGGGAUCAUGUUAUAUUGCUAGUACAGGAGAGAGAAUCUGAAAUAAACUUUCUUGCACAAUACCUGUACACCUCCCUUUAGUUUUCUGGCAUGAUCUGGGUAGUCAAAUACGUCACAAUACUUUUUUUUAUUUCUUUCCAAACUUGUCUUCUCUUCUGAAACUGUUUCAUUUAUACCCCUUUUUGGCUGUGCCUGUUAUUAUUUCUCCACAUUUCUCCAGCACUCCCCCAGUUAGUUGAGGAUGGAGACAUUCCUGGGUCUUUCAGCAUGUUCAUACAGACCUUAGAUUGGGGGAGUUAGUUGUUUGUUGUUUUGUUCCGAUUUGGUUUGGCUUUUUUUUUUUUUUAUUUGUGGGUUUUUUGGUUGGUUUGGGUUGGUUUUGUUUGUGUUUUUUUUUUUUUUUUCUUGUUGCUCUUUGUUUGUUAGUUUUUACUUAGUUAAGCUGUUUGAAAACAAGGCACGUUUUGAGCACAGCCUUGUCACCAAACAGGACGAAAGAAACUUAUCCAACACCAAUUAGAUGUAAACAAGCAGACACUUCUUUAUUCAGCUUGCUGGGAACACAGGGCAUCGCUCCUCCAAAUGUGUUCCACUUAGCAAUAAUACCCAUUCAUUUUUAUACCUUUCUGUUACAUGAGCCCAAUCUUCCAUUCAUUUGUAUACUUCUUUUCUGUUACAUAAGUCCAUUCUUGAAUUUAACCUUUACAGUGAUCGGUUCCAUAGGUUAUAUAUCUUUACUCAAAACCAAUUAUUGUUUAGUUCUGUUUAGCUGUACUGACUGAAAGUCUUGAUACUCAGAUCAAGAUGGGAAGGGUAAGGGGAUUUCCAAGCAGUAUACAUGGCCCAGUAACUUCUUGGUGAGGUAUCCAUGGUUGCAUACUUCAAACAUAGCACUCCUAACAAUUCUAUACAUUAUGCUUCACAACUGUCUACCUUUAAUCGAACUACGACUUUUAUAUGAUCAGAUCUUGAUUAUUUUACUGCAACUACUACUUCUCUACGAUCAAAUUUCAGUUAUUUGUGAGACUAUUGGCAACAGCCUUAUGGUGGUGCGCUUAGUCAAAUAGCUGGGCACACAGCCCGCUAUUUUUGAGUGGAAUUUGUUAAUAUUUACCACUUUCUUUUUUCCCUAAACGAUAUCAACAGCCAGAGAAAUGAGUCCCUGGAAAUGCCUUCCUUUUCUCCCUCUUUUUACCUCUCUUCCAGUCAAUGAACAGGCAGCGAGCGGCGGUUCCUGCAGCACCAGCGCCAUCUGCUGCCCCGCCCCGGCAGCGCAGAAGCUUCACGGAACUUUCCUCUCUGGAGCGUCCAAAUAACAGCAAAGCAAAUUUUUUUAUUUAUUUAUUUUAUGGGGGACAGCCCGAUCCGCAGCGUGCCCUGCAAAGCUCCUGCUGGCCAAGCGGGUCGGUAAUAUUUACGUGACAUUUUCCGGCAGAGCGGUUCUAAAAUCCUGGCUUUCUCUGCUGUAGUGAAAAAGGAUAAAACCAACAAAGGAAAAAAACUGGUAUGAUUCUGAUUAAGUGCGGCCACCAGUGUAAACACUGAAGUGGGAGACUGUCACUUGCUCCCCAGAAACACAUCCGGCACCUCUGUUGGAACAUCUUCUGGACCUGAGAGGGGUGAGAUACAAGUGUGGCAGCAGACCAGGACAGUAUAUCAAGAAGAGUGUAGCUGCAUUUCCUAAGAUAAUAUUUCUAAGUCAUGUCUUUAGAGUAAAGGAGUGUCUCGUCUUCCAGGAUCCUGUUCUGUCAAGCUGUCACAAUAGCUUAAUUUACAACUAGUUAAGACACAUUCACUGUUAAUUUUGCUUGCGAACACAAACUUUGCUUGCUUACAUUUGUGGGAAUAUGCUUAGGAUCUUUUUAAGAGGAGACUUUUUUUCUCUUUGCCACAGUUUGACAGAAGUCCUUCUGAUGUCUUACAGAGCAGCAGUGGCCUACAAGACCAGAGCCUGAGAAACAGCCCUGCAGAUGGAGCUGCAGGGAUCCUUCAUUUAUCAACUACAUGAUUAAUUUGGUGUGGACCGAUACUUGCUCUUGGCUUUGCUCUCUUUGCUCUUUGGGUUUUUUUUGUUGUGGUUUUGGUUUUGGGUUUUGCUGUGUUUGGUUUGGUUGGGUUUUUUAUUUAUCUUGUGUUUAUAAUAUCUGCAGUAGAUUUUUUUAUGUAUAAAAACAUAAAAUCAUGUAUUGUAUACAGGUAGUAAAAGCACUGAUUUGCUACUGCAGUGUGUUUCUCAAACUAGCUGAGUUCAUUUAGGCAAUGUACUUUAUCAAAGCUGUAUUUUGCCCACAGCAAAACAAACUGUCAGCUGUUAGAGAGGAAUAAUUAUUUUUCAUAUUAAAAUGUGGCUAUAUGACAGCUCAUUGCAUUCAUUAAACAACUACCUAUUCUUCAGUCUGGAAUCAGAACUGCUUUCAGAGAGUAUCCAGCUUGCUACUGAAAUGAUUUAAAUAGGUCGAGUGUAACACUGUAAAUAUGACCAAGGCAAAAAGCCAGUCAAUAAAACUGUCAGGUUUACCCUAA